GACGAACGCUGGCGGCGUGCUUAACACAUGCAAGUCGAACGGAAAGGCCCUGCUUUUGUGGGGUGCUCGAGUGGCGAACGGGUGAGUAACACGUGAGUAACCUGCCCUUGACUUUGGGAUAACUUCAGGAAACUGGGGCUAAUACCGGAUAGGAGCUCCUGCUGCAUGGUGGGGGUUGGAAAGUUUCGGCGGUUGGGGAUGGACUCGCGGCUUAUCAGCUUGUUGGUGGGGUAGUGGCUUACCAAGGCUUUGACGGGUAGCCGGCCUGAGAGGGUGACCGGCCACAUUGGGACUGAGAUACGGCCCAGACUCCUACGGGAGGCAGCAGUGGGGAAUAUUGCACAAUGGGCGGAAGCCUGAUGCAGCAACGCCGCGUGCGGGAUGACGGCCUUCGGGUUGUAAACCGCUUUCGCCUGUGACGAAGCGUGAGUGACGGUAAUGGGUAAAGAAGCACCGGCUAACUACGUGCCAGCAGCCGCGGUGAUACGUAGGGGUGCGAGCGUUGUCCGGAUUUAUUGGGCGUAAAGGGCUCGUAGGUGGUUGAUCGCGUCGGAAGUGUAAUCUUGGGGCUUAACCCUGAGCGUGCUUUCGAUACGGGUUGACUUGAGGAAGGUAGGGGAGAAUGGAAUUCCUGGUGGAGCGGUGGAAUGCGCAGAUAUCAGGAGGAACACCAGUGGCGAAGGCGGUUCUCUGGGCCUUUCCUGACGCUGAGGAGCGAAAGCGUGGGGAGCGAACAGGCUUAGAUACCCUGGUAGUCCACGCUGUAAACGGUGGGUACUAGGUGUGGGGUCCAUUCCACGGGUUCCGUGCCGUAGCUAACGCUUUAAGUACCCCGCCUGGGGAGUACGGCCGCAAGGCUAAAACUCAAAGGAAUUGACGGGGCCCCGCACAAGCGGCGGAGCAUGCGGAUUAAUUCGAUGCAACGCGUAGAACCUUACCUGGGUUUGACAUGGAUCGGGAGUGCUCAGAGAUGGGUGUGCCUCUUUUGGGGUCGGUUCACAGGUGGUGCAUGGCUGUCGUCAGCUCGUGUCGUGAGAUGUUGGGUUAAGUCCCGCAACGAGCGCAACCCUUGUUCACUGUUGCCAGCACGUUAUGGUGGGGACUCAGUGGAGACCGCCGGGGUCAACUCGGAGGAAGGUGGGGAUGACGUCAAGUCAUCAUGCCCCUUAUGUCCAGGGCUUCACGCAUGCUACAAUGGCUGGUACAGAGAGUGGCGAGCCUGUGAGGGUGAGCGAAUCUCGGAAAGCCGGUCUCAGUUCGGAUUGGGGUCUGCAACUCGACCUCAUGAAGUCGGAGUCGCUAGUAAUCGCAGAUCAGCAACGCUGCGGUGAAUACGUUCCCGGGGCUUGUACACACCGCCCGUCAAGUCAUGAAAGUUGGUAACACCCGAAGCCGGUGGCCUAACCGUUGUGGGGGAGCCGUCGAAGGUGGGACUGGUGAUUAGG
rnacentral:rRNA from 1 species